rnacentral:pre_miRNA from 13 species
AAAGAGGAACAGAGUGAUGACCUAUGAAUUGACAGCCAGUUUAAAACUGCCUGCCUGUCAGUUCUGUAGGCCACUGCCCUGUGUGCUCAUUAACACA